GAAGGUGCUCAGGCUUGGAUCUGGGGUGUAGCGGUGGCCUCCCUUCACCCCCAGCUCAGCAGAAUCUUUUUUUUGUCUGUCAGCAGUGGGGGCAGAGGCAGCUAUGGUGCGUCUCCAUCUCUGUUUCCUGAGGUUGCUGAUGCAAGCCAGCUGCGCUGAGCUGAGCGCUGCUCUUCCUCUGUUUAUGGGUUCAUUGCCACUCUGCCUGGCCUGCACUGCACCAACCCUGUCCCCCACCGUCACUCAGGUUACGAUCUGCUAUCUGCACCACGGGGGAGAAUCAAGCCCAGGGUUCUCUUUGAGCUGUGUGACUCAGAAUGCGCAGGUCGCAGGUCGCAUUCAAAGAGGCAGCCAUGGGGCAGUCCCAGGGUGCAGCUGGGCUGGCCUUCCCCGGGGUGCCCUGGGGCGCCCUUGACUUCACAGCACUUCCGGGUAGAGGGGUAGAGGCAUCAGUCCUCACCCACUGGGUGAGGCCCUUGCCCCUGCUGUCCUUUCUCAUCUAGCCCUUUUCCGCACUCCACCCUCACCUGGGGGGAGGUAGCACUGAUAAGAUUUGCACUCGCCUUUGGCACAGGGGAGACCAGUUUCUCUCAGCCUUGCCAGUCUCUGCCAACGUCGGGGGUGGGCAAAAGGAAGGAAAAGGGACUUCACUGGCAGUGGGGCAGUAGUGGGUCUUGGUGGUGUGUGUGUGUGUGUGUGUGUUUGUGACAAGGAUGGGGGUCUGAGUAUCCUGCUGCUCCCCCAGCAUGGCACACACACAACUGCAGCAGGCGCACAGAGUUCUUUGUUGAGCCGGCAGGGGCUCACAGGGCGGCCCUAGAAGAAAGGAAACUAAAAUGUUAAGUGUCUGAGUCGGUUCACUCCACAACAAAGUUUUAUGAAAGAGAAAACAACCUCAGAAGUGGCCGAGACGGGCGGCCGCCCCGCCCCGCACCCUGCUGCCUGGAGUUUCCUCCCUAACUCCACUCCCCUCCCCCUGGCUAACGGACCUCCCUGAUGGUGGGGAGGGCUGGCUGAGCACCUCUCUGUGACUCUCCACCUGAGGGGGUUCUUUGGAGGAUCCCCGGUUGCCCCUCCACACUCACAGAAUUCAAAGGAAUGCACAGGGAGGGAAACUCGAAACUAAAGGUGGUUUAUUGAGCAUAUCUCCAUGCCAGCAGUCUGGUGGGCCUGGGUCAAGGAACCCACCAGAUGGAAAGCUGAGGCAGUCAAGGUGGUGGAAAAGUGCGGUAUCAGGGAAUGACAGAGAAGGUGGGGGCCACAAGAAAGGGGAAAUCUGAAAGGGUGAGGAGCAGAAGUGUGAGAAGGCAUCCUUAAAUUGGAAUGGAGGCGGCUUCCUGGGGGAGUGAAAGUUGGAAUGUGGGGAGCUCCACAACAGGGAGGAGCAGAAGACCCUGGAUGUCUGAAAGGAUUGUGAGGGGAAUCGAGGAGGUGGGAGAUGAGGAUGGGUUGCUGGAGAAUGCUGAGAGAGAAAAACGCUCACCCGCGGGGAGGGGGUGGAGAGGUGAGUAUCUAGGAAUCACUCUGUGAUUCUCACUCACUCUGUAUCUAGGAAUCACUCUGUGAAAUGCCCAGGACAAGAAGGGUUGGACCCUGGGGUGGGAGGUAUGGGUGGGAGAGCCUACAAGGCAGCUGAGCACUGCAAACCACUCCCUCACCUCCCGCCGCCCCCCCAAGCCCAGAUCCCAGAUUUCAUCUCUUAAUCUCCCUCAUUAAUCAUUCACCUUCCUCCUACCCCCAUCGGUGGAUCUGGUUUCUUCCCAGCUCAGGUUCCAGAGACUUUGCUGGGAGAAGUCCCCUCCUGUGGCCCCACCAUUGUCUGGACACGUCCCUGGCUCCCUGGCCACUGGGCUGAUCUUAGUGGGCUCUGCUGUGGCCUCCUCCCUUUACUAGUCUCUCCUUCCCUUUUGUCCCCCAAAUGGGGGUCACCCAACCCUUUUGUCCAACCCCAUUACCUGAGCCUGGUUACUGGGGGGAGAAGAUAGGCGGGAGAGCGAGAAGGGCAGGAAGGCAAAGACCCCUCAGGAGAGAGGGCGCUCCCCACAAACACACUAGGAAUCGAAAGCAGAGGAAGAGAUGACCUAAAAGCUAUUUAGAAGAUGCAUGAGUGAAGGUCGCCUGAGUAAAGGUCUGAGGUGUCUGACAAGCCUGGGACCUGAGUUCCGCAGUUCCUGCAGCCUUCUGGGACCCUCUUUAAAUGGAGAUUAAGUGAAAUCACCAGGAUGGUUCAGAGGACUGAGGCCUCCAGCAGAGAGGAUCACUCUUGGCCCCCCUCCACCUCCCGCCAUUAAUAACCAAUUUACAAGAUCCUGAGGCAGCUCAGCUUUCUGCUGUGGUGUGGCUCUGCUCUCUGCCCC
rnacentral:lncRNA from 1 species